rnacentral:rRNA from 1 species
GACGAACGCUGGCGGCGUGCUUAACACAUGCAAGUCGAACGGAAAGGCCCUGCUUUUGUGGGGUGCUCGAGUGGCGAACGGGUGAGUAACACGUGAGUAACCUGCCCUUGACUUUGGGAUAACUUCAGGAAACUGGGGCUAAUACCGGAUAGGAGCUCCUGCUGCAUGGUGGGGAUUGGAAAGUUUCGGCGGUUGGGGAUGGACUCGCGGCUUAUCAGCUUGUUGGUGGGGUAGUGGCUUACCAAGGCUUUGACGGGUAGCCGGCCUGAGAGGGUGACCGGCCACAUUGGGACUGAGAUACGGCCCAGACUCCUACGGGAGGCAGCAGUGGGGAAUAUUGCACAAUGGGCGGAAGCCUGAUGCAGCAACGCCGCGUGCGGGAUGACGGCCUUCGGGUUGUAAACCGCCUUCGCCUGUGACGAAGCGUGAGUGACGGUAAUGGGUAAAGAAGCACCGGCUAACUACGUG